AUUGAACGCUGGCGGCAGGCCUAACACAUGCAAGUCGAACGAGCGGCGGACGGGUGAGUAAUGUCUGGGAAUCUGCCUGAUGGAGGGGGAUAACUACUGGAAACGGUAGCUAAUACCGCAUACCAUCAGAUGUGCCCAGAUGGGAUUAGCUCGUUGGUGGGGUAACGGCUCACCAAGGCGACGAUCCCUAGCUGGUCUGAGAGGAUGACCAGCCACACUGGGACUGAGACACGGCCCAGACUCCUACGGGAGGCAGCAGUGGGGAAUAUUGCACAAUGGGCGCAAGCCUGAUGCAGCCAUGCCGCGUGUAUGAAGAAGGCCUUAGGGUUGUAAAGUACUUUCAGCGGGGAGGCGUUACCCGCAGAAGAAGCACCGGCUAACUCCGUGCCAGCAGCCGCGGUAAUUC
rnacentral:rRNA from 1 species